rnacentral:rRNA from 1 species
ACAUGCAGUCGAGCGGGGUGAUGGUAGCUUGCUACAUUGACCUAGCGGCGGACGGGUGAGUAAUGCUUAGGAAUCUGCCUAUUAGUGGGGGACAACAUUCCGAAAGGAAUGCUAAUACCGCAUACGCCCUACGGGGGAAAGCAGGGGAUCUUCGGACCUUGCGCUAAUAGAUGAGCCUAAGUCAGAUUAGCUAGUUGGUGGGGUAAAGGCCUACCAAGGCGACGAUCUGUAGCGGGUCUGAGAGGAUGAUCCGCCACACUGGGACUGAGACACGGCCCAGACUCCUACGGGAGGCAGCAGUGGGGAAUAUUGGACAAUGGGGGGAACCCUGAUCCAGCCAUGCCGCGUGUGUGAAGAAGGCCUUUUGGUUGUAAAGCACUUUAAGCGAGGAGGAGGCUACCGAGAUUAAUACUCUUGGAUAGUGGACGUUACUCGCAGAAUAAGCACCGGCUAACUCUGUGCCAGCAGCCGCGGUAAUACAGAGGGUGCGAGCGUUAAUCGGAUUUACUGGGCGUAAAGCGUGCGUAGGCGGCUUUUUAAGUCGGAUGUGAAAUCCCUGAGCUUAACUUAGGAAUUGCAUUCGAUACUGGGAAGCUAGAGUAUGGGAGAGGAUGGUAGAAUUCCAGGUGUAGCGGUGAAAUGCGUAGAGAUCUGGAGGAAUACCGAUGGCGAAGGCAGCCAUCUGGCCUAAUACUGACGCUGAGGUACGAAAGCAUGGGGAGCAAACAGGAUUAGAUACCCUGGUAGUCCAUGCCGUAAACGAUGUCUACUAGCCGUUGGGGCCUUUGAGGCUUUAGUGGCGCAGCUAACGCGAUAAGUAGACCGCCUGGGGAGUACGGUCGCAAGACUAAAACUCAAAUGAAUUGACGGGGGCCCGCACAAGCGGUGGAGCAUGUGGUUUAAUUCGAUGCAACGCGAAGAACCUUACCUGGUCUUGACAUAGUAAGAACUUUCC